UCAAUCACGCAUCUUCCACCCUCCCUCUCUCUCUCACUCUCCCCCAACUCUCUUUCUCUUUGAACUCCCGCCAUUGACCCCUCCGCCUCCGCCUCUGUCUCCUUCUCCAAUCGUCGUUGCCGCCUCCGAUAGUCAUCGCCGCGUUCUAUUGUUCGAUUCUCUCACACCGCUCCGCUUUGGCAACUCAGAGAUCAUCUUCCCAAGACUGUUUUUGAUAUCAAUAUUGAGGAUAAGAAUGUCCAAAAGGUCAUCGAUAAACAAAUGCAACGAGCUUGGAGAGGCCACAAAUAUAAGCUACAUGCUUACUUCAAAGAAAUUGGAGGAGAGAAAGAUCCAAUUAAGGCCAAAAGUAAGCGCUAUGAGGAAGUGAGCCAAGAGGAUUGGGAUUACCUUUGUGAUCUUUGGACAAAUCCUAUUUUUAUGAACGAGCACAGAAGAAUGCCAACUCUCGUGCAAAACGAAAGUGGGAAUCUAGAAAUGGUUCGAGGAGUACAACGCGUCAUCACAUUGUUCGUGGAGCUAACUUGAAUGGCCUGAUAGGACAUAUUUAGACUUGGUAUCUUCAACAUUGGCAUUCCGAACAUGGUUGGUCGUCUUCAGAGUUAGAAGCUAAAUAUGAACAAAAGAUGCAGUUGAGGCGAGAUAAUCCUCCAGAUAAAAUGACUGAUAAGGAUAUCUUAGAAAAGGUUCUUUGACGACAAUCUAUUCGCUUGUUUGGUUGGGGGCGAUCUCCUAGUACUUUCGGGAUAACAUGCACUAGUGAGGAGUCUAGUCGUCCAACUUACAAACAAUUGGUUGAUGAUUUGAAUCGGUACAAGUCUCUUUUUCAAGAGCUCCAGGGAGACGUGAACAUGUUGUGGCAAGUAUUGAUUGAAAAUAAUAUUAUGCCUCAUCCGUCUACUACACAUGUACCAUCGGAUCAUAGUUCAGGACAAUCUCGCCUCAAUCCAUCCUGCCUCGACCCAUCCAGCUCUACCCCUUCCCUCCAUUCUACUAAAGAAGAGUUUGACGACGAGAUUUAAUAAUUUGUUUUAUGUGUUUUUUUCAAGAAUGUUUGAACUUUUUAGGUGACUUUAUGAUUUUAUGCUUAUUUUGUGACUUUAUGACUUUUUAUGUGCGUAUAUACAAUACAACAACAUAUCCAGCCUUUAUCCCACUAUGUGGGGUCGGCUACAUGAAUUCUAGACUUCCAUCCUUUUUA